UUAUAUCCGUCCGUUUUUUAUUUGUGUCGUCCAUCACGUUUGAUCUGGAUCGUCCGAUUGCGAUUAAAUAGGGAGAAAUCGGGAUCGUUCAUCGCGAUCUAAUCUGGACCGUCCAUUGUGAUCUAAUCUGGACCGUCCGAUUACGUUCAAAUCUAGACGUCUGAUCACAUUUGGGGAGGGAAUACAUUUGUGCCGUCUGUGCGCGGGGGAACGGAUCUGAGCCGUUCGAUCACGG
rnacentral:lncRNA from 1 species